rnacentral:rRNA from 1 species
UACGGGGGGGGCAAGCGUUGUUCGGAAUUACUGGGCGUAAAGGGCUCGUAGGCGGCCAACUAAGUCAGACGUGAAAUCCCUCGGCUUAACCGGGGAACUGCGUCUGAUACUGGAUGGCUUGAGAUUGGGAGAGGGAUGCGGAAUUCCAGGUGUAGCGGUGAAAUGCGUAGAUAUCUGGAGGAACACCGGUGGCGAAGGCGGCAUCCUGGACCAACACUGACGCGUGAGGAGCGAAAAGCCAGGGGAGCAAACGGG